UACGGGGGGAGCGAGCGUUGUUCGGAUUUACUGGGCGUAAAGGGCGCGUAGGCGGUCAGCACAAGUCAGUUGUGAAAUCUCCGGGCUUAACUCGGAAAGGUCAACUGAUACUGUGCGACUAGAGUGCAGAAGGGGCAACUGGAAUUCUCGGUGUAGCGGUGAAAUGCGUAGAUAUCGAGAGGAACACCUGCGGCGAAGGCGGGUUGCUGGGCUGACACUGACGCUGAGGCGCGAAAGCCAGGGGAGCGAACGGG
rnacentral:rRNA from 1 species